rnacentral:lncRNA from 1 species
CGGGUACUUGUAUAUCCCAACAACAAAGGUACAUUUGAGUAUGAUUGCCAAUGAGACAACUCAAUCAAAGUUCAAAUAAAGUGGAUGUUAGCAAUUAUUGCCAACUGUACAGUCUUCAACAAUGAGUAAAACCCAUAUCAUAUAGUCUGCUGUUAAAGGCCCAGACAUAAAUUAUAUGAACAAUUCAAAUGAGAAACUGACGGCCUAAUUUAUUACAAAACAAACAUAUCGAAAAUUAAAAAAGACAUGCAUGAACAACAACCGC